UCCGAAUUAGUGUAGGGGUUAACAUAACUCGCUUUCAAUGCUCUUCUGUUCAUCAGUUGAGUACCAGGAACCGAGUAGCCCCGGGUUCGAUUCCCGGAUUCGGAA
rfam:Sclerotinia sclerotiorum 1980 scaffold_4 genomic scaffold, whole genome shotgun sequence.